UUUAUAGGCUUAGCUGUGCAACCAAUUUUCUUGCUCUCCAAACUCUCUUAUCCUUGAAACAACGCAACCUUGGCCGAAUUUUGGUGUCAUUUUCUUUUCUCUUUAUGCUUGGUUUUUGAGUGGAACUUGUCACCAACAAGCUUAGAGAUCCAUACCGGGCUGUGGUUCGCGGGACUUGGUGAACCCAACUCUGUAGCUCGGAGCCAGGAGAAGAUCAAGUUUAGGUCCGGGG